AUUCUUGGUCAUUUAGAGGAAGUAAAAGUCGUAACAAGGUCUCCGUUGGUGAACCAGCGGAGGGAUCAUUACCGAGUUUACAACUCCCAAACCCCUGUGAACAUACCAUUUGUUGCCUCGGCGGUGCCUGCUUCGGCAGCCCGCCAGAGGACCCAAACCCUUGAUUUUAUACAGUAUCUUCUGAGUAAAUGAUUAAAUAAAUCAAAACUUUCAACAACGGAUCUCUUGGUUCUGGCAUCGAUGAAGAACGCAGCGAAAUGCGAUAAGUAAUGUGAAUUGCAGAAUUCAGUGAAUCAUCGAAUCUUUGAACGCACAUUGCGCCCGCCAGUAUUCUGGCGGGCAUGCCUGUUCGAGCGUCAUUUCAACCCUCAAGCCCCCGGGCUUGGUGUUGGAGAUCGGCGUGCCCCCCGGGGCGCGCCGGCUCCCAAAUAUAGUGGCGGUCUCGCUGUAGCUUCCUCUGCGUAGUAGCACACCUCGCACUGGAAAACAGCGUGGCCACGCCGUUAAACCCCCCACUUCUGAAAGGUUGACCUCGGAUCAGGUAGGAAUACCCGCUGAACUUAAGCAUAUCAAUAAGCGGAGGAAAAGAAACCAACAGGGAUUGCCCUAGUAACGGCGAGUGAAGCGGCAACAGCUCAAAUUUGAAAUCUGGCCCUCGGGUCCGAAUUGUAAUUUGUAGAGGAUGCUUUUGGUGAGGUACCUUCCGAGUUCCCUGGAACGGGACGCCAUAGAGGGUGAGAGCCCCGUCUGGUCGGAUACCGAUCCUCUGUAAAGCUCCUUCGACGAGUCGAGUAGUUUGGGAAUGCUGCUCUAAAUGGGAGGUAUAUGUCUUCUAAAGCUAAAUAUUGGCCAGAGACCGAUAGCGCACAAGUAGAGUGAUCGAAAGAUGAAAAGAAUCUC
rnacentral:rRNA from 1 species